rnacentral:lncRNA from 12 species
GCGCUGCCUUUUGUAGUGAGGGCUCUGCCUCCAAUCCCUUUGGCCCAACCUUCUGAAACGCUUUGCUUUUCAACCUGGUUUGACGGUAUCUUUAGAUGAACAUCCCCCUGUGCUUGGUCAACCGGGAGACUGAGAAGCCAGGGAACCGAGCCUGCCUCCCGAGGCUUCCGUACAUCUUCGUCAGGUCACAUUUGGCCAGGUUCUUGCAGAAAUUCUGUUUGUUCCCUCUUGACCUUCAGGAAGCAAAUAUGUCUUAGGAGCAGAUGAAAAGCACUAACAAAUAACUCAACAAAGGAGAAACUGGGCUUCCUUGGAAUGCAAAGGACAAUAUCAGCAGGACGUGCUCGUCUGCGUCCACGUGAAGAACCCCGCAGGUCUACCUACGAGGAGAGAGUGGACAAGCCCCACAUGAGACAGGGACACUUACGAGGAGGGAGUGGACGAACCUGCCAGGAGAUGCAGAUGAGAGCAUGCACGGCCCCUUCAUUCAUGAGCGACUCAAACAGCUACCAACCUGAAUGUCCAGACCCAGGGGACGGACACGUGCACUGUGGCCUCGUCAAGCAGUGGACAUGUGUAGCGUGAUAACCACUGGAGCCACGGAUGCCUACCUGGAGUGGUGAAUCCGGCAGGUGUGCAUGGUGUGAGAGACCAGGCAUGGUGCUCAGGGUGUGUAGGUCUGUUCUGAUGAAAUCAGAGCCGUGGCGCUUUCUGGAGGGCGUAAAGGCCAGGAAGAGCAAAGGGAACCUGUGUACAUGGAUGCAGUGUUCAAACUUACACUAGACACAGUGGGCAGCCGGGUGAGUGGUUUCUGGUGUGCAUACAAUGUGUGUGGUAGUGAGAUCCUAGGAGGUCCAAGUGGGUCACUUCAUGUAAUCCAGGCAAAAACCCCUCUGCGCCUCAGUGUCCCCACCUGUUAGGGGUAGUAGCAGUGUGUGCCCGAUGUGCUACCACCAGACUGGGCGUUUUCAUUUUGUCUCAAUAUCCUAUUUGUGCUUUUUUAAAUGUUUGUUUUCUAUUUUUCCUCCAUUUUUCUGUGGGAAGUUUUUUUUUUUCGUAAGAGCUCUUUACAUACGAGGGGUGUUAGUCUGCUGACACGUAGUGCAAGAAUUUUUGCUCGUCCUUUCUUUAACGCUUAUCCGCAUGGAUUCUGAUUGCCCCCUACUCUGACAUCGAGCUGGCAAAGGUCACUGGGGAUCUCCUAGGUGCCAAACCCUACGAGUCUUUCUCAGACUUGAAUUCGUCCCUGUGCUACUGGGCCUGCUCUGGCCUGUCCAUCUCUGGUCCUUUCCUGCCUGGUCUGCAGGAUGGCACUGUCUUCCUGCCCAGGUUGUUCCUCACGCUCACCUGGACGCUCCUCCUCCCCGAACCUCAUUGGCUGCUUCAAAUGAACUAUUGUUUCUAAGUCUACAACAUUCCCAAGCACAACAUCCCAUGGCGCAAAGGCUUCGAGGCAGGCAUGCACCCGGACGUGGUGGCCCUGUCCUCAGAGCAGCUACGGAGGCGGAAGCCCUGGGUUCCCACAGGCCUGAUGUCUUAUGAGAUCAUGAGGGGGUGUCCUCAGGUCACUGCUGGGCCUGUUCUG